AUGUAAUCCUUUGUGCUAUGUUCUCAACAGAUUAGCUGAGGUCAAUGACCAUUCGGUGAAUGCCCAUGGGUUUUCCCUAUGAUGAUGGAUUACAAGUGGAUUUUUUUCCUGUGUGAACACAACACAUAUACCCUAGAGUAACUCGUAAUUGUGCAAGUAACCCCUCUGAGGUACUUAAUUUGGACAAGUUGAUGCCAAUCUGUAGCGUUUGGAGACUUACAGCCUUUUCAUUUCAGAGGCAGCAUUAAAUCCACAUCAACUGACAAUAAUAACAGCUCAGGAGCCACAUGGAUUUAAAACGUGUGCAGAGUGCAAAGAGAGAAAAUGAGGGUCAGUGCAUCUUUCUGGACUGGUCCUCGAUGUGAAUGUGUGCAUGGUGGCUUGUGAUAGACUGACAUCUGAUCCAGGGUGUAGUCCCGCCUCCCAUCCAGUAUUUCUGGGAUAGCCUUCAGGUCUACCAUGACCCUGACCAGAUUAAAGCAGUUACUGAAAAUUAAGAAAUGAAUGAAUGUAAAGUCCAGUGCAUCGCAGUUAUAUCUGCUGACUGCUGAUGUUGUGUAAACUGUUAUUGUAUAUUGUGUAUAUGGGUCAUUCUACAGAAUUGGUGCAAAAUUGGUGCUCCAAAACAGUGUAUGUUUUAGUCCAUUGGCUGGGACUGAUUUUAACCACACCCCUAUAUUUUUGAUCAGGAAAUAUUCCUGUGUCCCUCUAUCUCAUAGCUACAAUGAUAUGUAUAACUGUACUAAAAUUUUGUCUAUUUCUUCCAAAUAAAGGAUUAAGUGUUCCCUUUUGUCAAUACCAAAACAAUGAAGUCACAAGCGAAACUUCACCACAUGUUUCGGUCGUGACUGUUUUGGUACUGACAAUUUUAGAUACUUUUGAGCCUAGCUCAAAGAUGCUAAUCAGUACAUGGUUAGCUAAUACAGUUCUGAACUGUUGUACACACAUAAAAACAAAAUUUUAUGGAGUAACACCUUAAAACGUUUGAAAAAAGGUGUUUGGUGGUGACUUCCAUUAAAGUUACAGACAGAUUUUCAGACUUUUGAACACAUUUACCUCAAAAUGAUGGGACCUAUCUACUCACCAUCUAGCUAGGAGAGAGGGACAUUUCCUGAUCAGAACUGAAGGGGUGUGAUUAAAAUCAGUCCCAGCCAAUGGAUGUAAACAUACUGACAUGAAAAUUCAGUACCUAAAGUUUCAAGAUUCACAAAGAAAAUAUUAAAG
ensembl:lncRNA